rnacentral:rRNA from 1 species
ACGGCGAGUGAAGCGGCAACAGCUCAAAUUUGAAAUCUGGCGCAAGCCCGAGUUGUAAUUUGUAGAGGAUGUUUCUGGCGACGUGCCUUCCGAGUUCCCUGGAACGGGACGCCAUAGAGGGUGAGAGCCCCGUACGGUUGGAUGCCUAGCCUCUGUGAAACUCCUUCGACGAGUCGAGUAGUUUGGGAAUGCUGCUCUAAAUGGGAGGUAUACGUCUUCUAAAGCUAAAUACCGGCCAGAGACCGAUAGCGCACAAGUAGAGUGAUCGAAAGAUGAAAAGCACUUUGAAAAGAGGGUUAAAAAGUACGUGAAAUUGUUGAAAGGGAAGCGUUCAUGACCAGACUUGGGCAGGUUGAUCAUCCGUGGUUCUCCGCGGUGCACUCUGCCUGCCCAGGCCAGCAUCAGUUCGCCCCGGGGGAUAAAGACUUUGGGAAUGUGGCUCCCUCGGGAGUGUUAUAGCCCACUGUGUAAUACCCUGGGGUGGACUGAGGUUCGCGCUCUGCAAGGAUGCUGGCGUAAUGGUCAUCAACGACCCGUCUUGAAACACGGACCAAGGAGUCGUCUUCGUAUGCGAGUGUUCGGGUGUCAAACCCCUACGCGUAAUGAAAGUGAACGUAGGAGAGAGCUUCGGCGCAUCUCCGACCGAUCCUGAUGUUCUCGGAUGGAUUUGAGUAAGAGCAUA